rnacentral:rRNA from 1 species
GAUGAACGCUAGCGGCAGGCCUAAUACAUGCAAGUCGAACGAUAGUUGGGGCUUGCUGCAACGAAAAGUGGCGCACGGGUGCGUAACGCGUAUGCAACCUACCUUAUUCAGGGGGAUAGCCCGAAGAAAUUCGGAUUAACACCGCAUAAAAUCACAGCUCAGCAUUGAGUAAUGAUCAAAUAUUUAUAGGAAUAAGAUGGGCAUGCGUGUCAUUAGCUAGUUGGCGGGGUAACGGCCCACCAAGGCGACGAUGACUAGGGGAUCUGAGAGGAUGACCCCCCACACUGGUACUGAGACACGGACCAGACUCCUACGGGAGGCAGCAGUAAGGAAUAUUGGUCAAUGGAGGCAACUCUGAACCAGCCAUGCCGCGUGCAGGAAGACAGCCCUCUGGGUCGUAAACUGCUUUUAUUCGGGAAUAAACCUUUCUACGUGUAGAGAGCUGAAUGUACCGAAGGAAUAAGGAUCGGCUAACCCCGUGCCAGCAGCCGCGGUAAUACGGAGGAUCCAAGCGUUAUCCGGAUUUAUUGGGUUUAAAGGGUGCGUAGGCGGCUUAUUAAGUCAGGGGUGAAAGACGGUGGCUCAACCAUCGCAGUGCCUUUGAUACUGAUGAGCUUGAAUGAACUAGAGGUAGGCGGAAUGUGACAAGUAGCGGUGAAAUGCAUAGAUAUGUCACAGAACACCGAUUGCGAAGACAGCUUACUAUGGUUUUAUUGACGCUGAGGCACGAAAGCGUGGGGAUCAAACAGGAUUAGAUACCCUGGUAGUCCACGCCCUAAACGAUGAAUACUCGCUGUUAGCGAUACACAGUUAGCGGCUAAGCGAAAGCGUUAAGUAUUCCACCUGGGGAGUACGCCCGCAAGGGUGAAACUCAAAGGAAUUGACGGGGGCCCGCACAAGCGGAGGAGCAUGUGGUUUAAUUCGAUGAUACGCGAGGAACCUUACCCGGGCUUGAAAGUUAGUGAAUGAUUUAGAGAUAGAUCAGUGAGCAAUCACACGAAACUAGGUGCUGCAUGGCUGUCGUCAGCUCGUGCCGUGAGGUGUUGGGUUAAGUCCCGCAACGAGCGCAACCCCUAUGUUUAGUUGCCAGCACGUUAAGGUGGGGACUCUAAACAGACUGCCUGUGCAAACAGAGAGGAAGGAGGGGACGACGUCAAGUCAUCAUGGCCCUUACGUCCGGGGCUACACACGUGCUACAAUGGAUGGUACAGAGGGCAGCAAGCUGGCAACAGCAAGCAAAUCUCAAAAAGCCAUUCACAGUUCGGAUAGAGGUCUGCAACUCGACCUCUUGAAGUUGGAUUCGCUAGUAAUCGCGUAUCAGCAAUGACGCGGUGAAUACGUUCCCGGGCCU